rnacentral:rRNA from 1 species
GAUGAACGCUGGCGGCGUGCCUAAUACAUGCAAGUCGAGCGAACAGACGAGGAGCUUGCUCCUCUGACGUUAGCGGCGGACGGGUGAGUAACACGUGGAUAACCUACCUAUAAGACUGGGAUAACUUCGGGAAACCGGAGCUAAUACCGUAUAAUAUUUUGAACCGCAUGGUUCAAAAGUGAAAGACGGUCUUGCUGUCACUUAUAGAUGGAUCCGCGCUGCAUUAGCUAGUUGGUAAGGUAACGGCUUACCAAGGCAACGAUGCAUAGCCGACCUGAGAGGGUGAUCGGCCACACUAGAACUGAGACACGGUCCAGACUCCUACGGGAGGCAGCAGUAGGGAAUCUUCCGCAAUGGGCGAAAGCCUGACGGAGCAACGCCGCGUGAGUGAUGAAGGUCUUCGGAUCGUAAAACUCUGUUAUUAGGGAAGAACAUAUGUGUAAGUAACUGUGCACAUCUUGACGGUACCUAAUCAGAAAGCCACGGCUAACUACGUG